GGGUCAGAACAACUUCCACAACACAUAUACUAAAAUUGGAAUGAUACAGAGAAAAUGAGCAUGGCCCCUUUGCAAGGAUGGCAUGCAAAUUCGUGAAGCAUUCUCUUUUUUG